rnacentral:rRNA from 1 species
GACGAACGCUGGCGGCGUGCUUAACACAUGCAAGUCGAGCGGUAAGGCCUUUCGGGGUACCCGAGCGGCGAACGGGUGAGUAACACGUGGGUGAUCUGCCCUGCACUUCGGGAUAAGCCUGGGAAACUGGGUCUAAUACCGGAUAUGACCUCCUAUCGCAUGGUGGGUGGUGGAAAGAUUUAUCGGUGCAGGAUGGGCCCGCGGCCUAUCAGCUUGUUGGUGGGGUAAUGGCCUACCAAGGCGACAACGGGUAGCCGACCUGAGAGGGUGACCGGCCACACUGGGACUGAGACACGGCCCAGACUCCUACGGGAGGCAGCAGUGGGGAAUAUUGCACAAUGGGCGAAAGCCUGAUGCAGCGACGCCGCGUGAGGGAUGACGGCCUUCGGGUUGUAAACCUCUUUCAGCAGGGACGAAGCGCAAGUGACGGUACCUGCAGAAGAAGCACCGGCUAACUACGUG